UACGUAGGGGGCAAGCGUUGUCCGGAUUUACUGGGCGUAAAGGGCGUGCAGGCGGUCUGUUAAGUCUAGGGUGAAAGCUCCCGGCUCAACUGGGAGAGGUCCUUGGAUACUGGCAGACUUGAGGAGAGUAGAGGAGAGUGGAAUUCCCGGUGUAGUGGUGAUAUGCGUAGGUAUCGGGAGGAACACCAGUGGCGAAGGCGGCUCUCUGGGCUCUACCUGACGCUGAGACGCGAAAGCGUGGGGAGCGAACGGG
rnacentral:rRNA from 1 species